UACGUAGGUGGCGAGCGUUGUCCGGAUUUACUGGGUGUAAAGGGCGUGUAGGCGGGUGAUUAAGUAAGAUGUGAAAUACCGGGGCUCAACUCCGGGGCUGCAUUUGAAACUGAUCAUCUUGAGUGCUGGAGAGGAAAGCGGAAUUCCUCGUGUAGCGGUGAAAUGCGUAGAUAUUAGGAGGAACACCAGUGGCGAAGGCGGCUUUCUGGACAGUAACUGACGCUGAGGCGCGAAAGCGUGGGGAGCAAACAGG
rnacentral:rRNA from 1 species